rnacentral:rRNA from 1 species
ACUAGUCUGGGAUACCACUUGGAAACAGGUGCUAAUACCGGAUAAGAAAGCGGAUCGCAUGAUCAGCUUUUAAAAGGCGGCGUAAGCUGUCGCUAUGGGAUGGCCCCCGCGGUGCAUUAGCUAGUUGGUAAGGUAAAGGCUUACCAAGGCGAUGAUGCAUAGCCGAGUUGAGAGACUGAUCGGCCACAUUGGGACUGAGACACGGCCCAAACUCCUACGGGAGGCAGCAGAA